ACCUUCCUUUGACACCUCUUAUCCCUAUAAAAUCACACCCACCAUAAAUUCAACACACACAAAAACACUCUCUCCCUUCUUUCUCUUUCAUUUUUCAGUUUUCUUCUCUAACACAAACCAAAUAUGAGAAAGAUCACAGCCCUGUUGUUCAUCACUCUGUUACUCGGCUUCAUCGUCACCCAUGCUGCGGCACGCCCUAAAUCAUUUUUUCGCAGGGGAGGCUCACUGAAUCCGGAUUUUCUGGGAGAAGAUAGUUGUUACGGCAUUGACGAGGAUGAAUGUUUGAAGAGGAGAGCACUUGCGGCAAACCUAGAUUAUAUUUAUACCCAAGACGAUAAUAAUUAAUGUUAAUUGUUUGGUAUUAUAUAUAUUAGAUGUUGAUAACCGUUUGCUUUCUUUCAUUUAAUGUUUUACAUAUAUCAUGUUAUUUUGCUAUAUGCUACUAUUUGGACUUGCACUAUCAUCUAAGUGUGAUGUUUAUGAAUGAAUAAUUUAUUAGGGGGA